rnacentral:rRNA from 1 species
GACGAACGCUGGCGGCGUGCUUAACACAUGCAAGUCGAGCGGUAAGGCCCUUUCGGGGGUACACGAGCGGCGAACGGGUGAGUAACACGUGGGUGACCUGCCCUCAGCUCUGGGAUAAGCCUGGGAAACCGGGUCUAAUACCGGAUAUGACUCCAUGACGCAUGUUGUGGGGUGGAAAGCCUUGUGCGGCUGAGGAUGGGCCCGCGGCCUAUCAGCUUGUUGGUGGGGUGAUGGCCUACCAAGGCGACGACGGGUAGCCGGCCUGAGAGGGCGACCGGCCACACUGGGACUGAGACACGGCCCAGAACUCCUACGGGAGGCAGCAGUGGGGAAUCUUGCGCAAUGGGCGAAAGGCCUGACGCAGCGACGCCGCGUGAGGGAUGAC